AAAACAUGUYUUUAAGAUAAAUAAUUUAAAGUYUAAUYUGCUCCMUGAUUUAAUAUUAAAUAGCUGCAGAAUUUUAACUGUACAAAGGUAGCAUAAUCAAUAGUUUUUUAAUUGAAAGCUGGAAUGAAGGAUUUGAUAAGGUAAAUAUUGUCUCAAAUUUAAUGAAAUUAUAAUUUUUUUUUUAGUUAAAAUACUAAAUUAAAUUUAAAAGACGAGAAGACCCUAUAGAUUUUUAUACUUUAAAUUAAAUUAAUUAAUAUUUUUUAUAAAUAAUGUAAUUGAAAAGUAUUAGGUUGGGGAAAUUAUUAAAUUAAAUAAAUUUUAAUUAAAAUAUAACAAUAAUUAUUGAAUUUAUGAUCUUGGAAAUUUAAAUUAUUAGAAUAAAUUACCUUAGGGAUAACAGCGUAAUUUUUUUGGAGAGAUCUUAUUGAUAAAAAAGUUUGCGACCUCGAUGUUGAAUUAAGAUAAAAUUUUAAUGUAGAAAUUAAAAAGUUUUG
rnacentral:rRNA from 1 species